GAAUAAGAUGAAAGGAAAGGAUGUAGCUUGAAAGCAUGAUGGAGAACAGCCAGAGGGUAUUCUUAAAUUCCAAAGACCAGUGUAUUGGAGCCAACUGCACAUGGCAAUCCUGACGGAGCAGACCACGUAUUUCAUGGCUCACAAAGCUACUGAUCUUUUUGGCUCUGGCAAGCUUUGCUGGGCAGUAAUAGACCUGGACCUACCAGGGCUCAGCAGGCCAGGGAGCAACAGUUUCAAACCCAUACUUCACUUCAGCCAUCAGAAGCAAAAACCUUUGGUCAGGUCUGCAAACCCCAAACUGAAUCUGCCCAAGACAGCAGAGUGUGUGUUAAAGAGUCUCCAAACAAACGAAAAACUCCCUCAAACAUCACUCUGUUCCUUUUCACAAGCAGCAGAGAAAGAGGGGACUAACGCCUC